rnacentral:rRNA from 1 species
UACAGAGGUGGCAAGCGUUGUUCGGAAUUACUGGGCGUAAAGGGCGCGUAGGCGGUUCGUUAAGUCCUGUGUGAAAUCCCCCGGCUCAACUGGGGAACUGCACAGGAAACUAGCGGGCUUGAGUUCGGGAGAGGGAAGCGGAAUUCCGGGUGUAGCGGUGAAAUGCGUAGAUAUUCGGAGGAACACCAGUGGCGAAGGCGGCUCGCUGGCUCGAUACUGACGCUGAGGUGCGAAAGCGUGGGGAGCAAACAGG